UACGAAGGUGGCAAGCGUUGUUCGGAUUUACUGGGCGUAAAGGGAGCGUAGGUGGUUAGGUAAGCCCUCCGGGAAAUCUUCAGGCUUAACCUGAAAAGGUCGGGGGGGACUGCCUGGCUAGAGGACGGGAGAGGAGCGCGGAAUUCCCGGUGUAGCGGUGAAAUGCGUAGAUAUUAGGAGGAACACCAGUGGCGAAGGCGGCUUUCUGGACAUUAACUGACGCUGAGGCGCGAAAGCGUGGGGAGCAAACAGG
rnacentral:rRNA from 1 species